CCCAGAUCGUUUACCGUGAAAAAAUUAGAGUGUUCAAAGCGGGCAGAUACUUUUUCCUGCCACCGAAUACAUUACGCAUGGGAUAAUGGAAUAGGACCCUGACCUCCUAUUUUCAGUUGGUUUUGUUUACAGCGAGGUUCAUAUCAGGGUAAUGAUUAAUAGGGAUAGUUGGGGGCAUUAAUAUUUAAUUGUCAGAGGUGAAAUUCUUGGAUUUAUGAAAGAUUAACUUCUGCGAAAGCGUUUGCCAAGGAUGUUUUCAUUAAUCAAGAACGAAAGUUAGGGGAUCGAAGACGAUCAGAUACCGUCGUAGUCUUAACCAUAAACGAUGCCGACCAGCGAUUAGGAGACGUUGAAUACAAAACACCGCUGUUAAUCCUUUCGGGGGUUAAUAGUUGGUGAAUGACUCCCCUAGCAGCUUGUGAGA
rnacentral:rRNA from 1 species